AUUGAACGCUGGCGGCAGGCCUAACACAUGCAAGUCGAACGGUAACAGGAAGAAGCUUGCUUCUUUGCUGACGAGUGGCGGACGGGUGAGUAAUGUCUGGGAAACUGCCUGAUGGAGGGGGAUAACUACUGGAAACGGUAGCUAAUACCGCAUAAUGUCGCAAGACCAAAGAGGGGGACCUUCGGGCCUCUUGCCAUCGGAUGUGCCCAGAUGGGAUUAGCUAGUAGGUGGGGUAACGGCUCACCUAGGCGACGAUCCCUAGCUGGUCUGAGAGGAUGACCAGCCACACUGGAACUGAGACACGGUCCAGACUCCUACGGGAGGCAGCAGUGGGGAGUAUUGCACAAUGGGCGCAAGCCUGAUGCAGCUAUGCCGCGUGUAUGAAGAAGGCCUUCGGGUUGUAAAGUACUUUCAGCGGGGAGGAAGGGAGUAAAGUUAAUACCUUUGCUCAUUGACGUUACCCGCAGAAGAAGCACCGGCUAACUCCGUG
rnacentral:rRNA from 1 species